ACGGUCCGCUUUUUAGCUAGUAUAUAUAUCAGCGCAGAGCUGUAUUAUAUAGAUUAAGUACUGUUUGUCCUAGGUUGAGCUUGUAGAUUCUCAAGAGCCCAAAAACGUGGCUAUAUACAGGAUGUUUGUUGAAAUGGAGGAGGAGGUUCUCGCUGAACUUGGGAUUCCAUCAAGAAACCGUAGAUCCCCUUUACGUAAAUUAUCAAAGUCCGAGAGUAGGAAGCAGUCGAUGUAUGCACUAAGAGACAAUGAGAAGGUUGGACAAUAUCUAACAUCUCUGAAGGUAUCUCAGUAAAGAACCCGUACACAGACAUAACAUGUUAAUGAAUUACUAUGUUUUGGUUAUAAUUUUUCAAAUAAAUAAGGUUACUGUACCAUGCUAAUAUGAUUUUAGUUUAGUUUCAUUCUUAAAGUAUUACUUGUAAUGAUGUUUUUGA